CAACCCUUAAGCCCCCGUCGCUUAGUGUUGGGAGCCUAUAGUUCCUUCUUCUGAAGGCUAUAGCUCCCCAAAGUCAGUGGCAGAGUCGGUUCACACUCUAGGCGUAGUAAAUAUCUCUUUCCUCGCCUAUGGAUGAGCUGGUCCCUCGCCGUAAAAAAAUAUAUACAUAUCAAAAAGG
rnacentral:misc_RNA from 1 species